rnacentral:rRNA from 1 species
AGAACGAACGCUGGCGGCAUGCCUAAUACAUGCAAGUCGAACGAACUCUUCGGAGUUAGUGGCGCACGGGUGCGUAACGCGUGGGAAUCUGCCCCUUGGUUCGGAAUAACAGUUGGAAACGACUGCUAAUACCGGAUGAUGACGAAAGUCCAAAGAUUUAUCGCCAAGGGAUGAGCCCGCGUAGGAUUAGCUAGUUGGUGAGGUAAAGGCUCACCAAGGCAACGAUCCUUAGCUGGUCUGAGAGGAUGAUCAGCCACACGUGGGACUGAGACACGGCCCAGA